rnacentral:rRNA from 1 species
CAGCAGCCGCGGGAAUACGUAGGUGGCAAGCGUUGUCCGGAAUUAUUGGGCGUAAAGCGCGCGCAGGUGGUUUAAUAAGUCUGAUGUGAAAGCCCACGGCUCAACCGUGGAGGGUCAUUGGAGACUGUUAAACUUGAGUGCAGGAGAGAAAAGUGGAAUUCCUAGUGUAGCGGUGAAAUGCGUAGAGAUUGGGAGGAACACCAGUGGCGAAGGCGGCUUUUUGGCCUGUAACUGACACUGAGGCGCGAAAGCGUGGGGAGCAAACAGGAUUAGAUACCCUGUAGUCCCUGUCUCUUAUACA